GCCGGGCGCAGUGGCGCGUGCCUGUAGUCCCAGCUACUCGGGAGGCUGAGGUGGGAGGAUCGCUUGAGCCCAGGAGUUCUGGGCUGCAAUGUGCUAUGCCGGCCGGGUGUCCGCACUAAGUUCGGCAUCAAUAUGGUGACCUCCCGGGAGCGGGGGACCACCAGGUUGCCUAAGGAGGGGUGAACUGGCCCAGGUCGGAAACGGAGCAGGUCAAAACUCCCGUGCUGAUCAGUAGUGGGAUUGCGCCUGUGAAUAGCCACUGCACUCCAGCCUGGGGGACAUAGCGAGACUCUGUCUCU
rnacentral:SRP_RNA from 1 species